CACAUGGCCCUGCGCGUUGUGGAUUAUCAUACCUGUCAUUAAUUAGCCAUGGAUAUCAGGCGAUUUUUGAAGAGACCUUCGAGUGCUCCCACUCCAACAGAUGACCGAAAAAGGCCUCAAGUACAAAGGGGAGAAAGAUGGUGGAACUGGCAUUAAAGAGAAAGUAUCCCGAGUAUGCUGCACAGGGUAUUCCACCAAAGAGGAGUCGAGACUGCAUGGAAGAAACAUGGGUGAUCCCAGACACUUUGUUGGACACCAGCUUUGACCUGGACACCAGCUUCGACCUGUCCGAUGAUGGCUCAUACUACGUCCCAACCCCAUACUCUUCCCCGACACAGACUGAACUGGAACCAACUUCAAGCCAUUCCC
ensembl:lncRNA